UUGGUUUUAGGACAGACCUGUGAGCAGUUAAGGCCAUGGAAAAUGUCUGCUUUAAAAGCAUUACUACAUUUCAAGCAGUAGCAUGGAAAUUUGAGAGUGCUUUUCUAUAGUGAGAGAGGAUGUUUUUCUAUCUCCUGAAAGAAUUAGAAGGAUAGAAAUGACAGAAAAGGUUAGAUAAAAUGAAAACCUUGGACAAAGGAAGAACAUUUAACUGCAGUGACUAAAUUCCUAAUCUGUGAACUCUGCUAUAAAGACACUACAAAUAAGAUUUUGAUUACUGAAUCAGCCGCAAACCACUACAAUUCAAACAUCACUUGCAGGGUAGAAGGAGCAUUGAAAGUUUUUCAGAGAGAAAGAGUCAUAGAGGAGAGAGAUUUCUCAACAGCAUGCGGGCCAGAUGAUCUCCAUAUGAACAGAGCAGAAGGAACAGCACGAGGAAAUGCGAUUGUCAGAUGAGUAUAGAAACAAGGAUAAAAUUCAGAC